AGUGAAUGCUGGCGGUAGGCCUAACACAUGCAAGUCGAACGGCAGCACAGUAAGAGCUUGCUCUUACGGGUGGCGAGUGGCGGACGGGUGAGGAAUACAUCGGAAUCUACUUUUUCGUGGGGGAUAACGUAGGGAAACUUACGCUAAUACCGCAUACGACCUACGGGUGAAAGCAGGGGAUCUUCGGACCUUGCGCGAUUGAAUGAGCCGAUGUCGGAUUAGCUAGUUGGCGGGGUAAAGGCCCACCAAGGCGACGAUCCGUAGCUGGUCUGAGAGGAUGACCAGCCAAACUGGAACUGAGACACGGUCCAGACUCCUACGGGAGGCAGCAGUGGGGAAUAUUGGACAAUGGGCGCAAGCCUGAUCCAGCCAUACCGCGUGGGUGAAGAAGGCCUUCGGGUUGUAAAGCCCUUUUGUUGGGAAAGAAAAGCAGCAGGUUAAUACCCCGCUGUUCUGACGGUACCCAAAGAAUAAGCACCGGCUAACUUCGUG
rnacentral:rRNA from 1 species